rnacentral:misc_RNA from 1 species
UUUCCGUAGGUGUACCUGCGGAAGGAUCAUUAUUGAAACUUGAAUCGUAGCAUUGAGAACUGUUGCUGACCUGUUAAAGGGUAUGUGCACGUUCGACGUGUUGCGUUCUAUUCAUCCACCUGUGCACCUUUGUAGACUUGAUUAACUUUCGCUCUCGAGCGGUUAGAAGGGUUGCUUUCGAGCUCCCUUUGUCUAUCAAGUCUAUGUCUAUAUAAUCUCUUGUAUGUCUAGAAUGUCUUGUUUAUGGGACGCAAGUCCUUUAAAUCUUAUACAACUUUCAACAACGGAUCUCUUGGCUCUC